AACUUUUGUUUUCUCUCAUUUCCUCCAUCUUCCUCCUCUCUCUCUCUCUUCCGAAAAAAAAUAUCUGGAACCCUUCUUCUUCCUCCAUCAUCAUUCAACAUCGUGAUAUCCAUUCCCACUUGCUUUAUCUCUCUCAACAGCUUUCCAAUCUGAUGAGCUUCUCCUUCUUCUCCAUCACUGUUCAAUUCUGCUUCUUUCUGCUUCAUUGCACUGCAGUAAUCCUACUCAUUCUCUUAGUAUUUAAUUUAUCCAGUAAUUGAUCAUAAAUCCAUCACUAUCUUGCGUUUUUUAUUUUCUUAUGUAUGCAGUGGAUGUACAGUUUAACGCAAAAGUGAAGGAUGCGAUAGGAAAAUCUGAUGUGAAUGUAAAAUAUGUGUUUGGCGUUCCGGUUAGAGCUUUCUCUGGCCUCUAUUUGUGUUUGUUGUAAAUUCCGUGAUUAUGUUAUUGGAUCUUGAUUCCUUGCUUGCGUAAACCCUAAUAUCAUUUUAAGCCCCUGAUCUCGCGAAUUCGUCGGUGUUUGUCGGCUAAAAUAUCAGAUCUGGGUGGCGUCGGAGAUUGGUUGAAAUCAUUCAAGAUUUCUGUCUUCUUUAACCACAAUUUAAUCACCUCUGAUUUCGUUUUUCAGGUUAACAAUCAAUUCACAGUUUAAUCAUCUAUGUUAUUUUCUCAGAUCUACACACUGAAUAUGGCAUCAAAUCCCUCAAUGAUUUCCUCUCCGGAAAAACUUAUAUCUCUGAGUUUGACCCUUCCAAAUUCAAACCCAAUUUAUUUAUUAUUUUAAAUCUUUCUGAGAAUUUGAUUAUUGAAAUUUUGUUGUUCUGUUUAUUUUUUUGAUGAUUCAGGGAUCAAUUUACAAAGGAUGAUAUUAAGGUUUAUGCUACUGUUACUGAGAAGUCAAGUGGAUAUUUUCCCAAUAUUUUUAAUUGGUAUGAUGUUGUUCCUUCAAGUCUUGCUGUUAGUUUCCCUGGGAAAGCUCAAGGUGUGAAGUUUACAGAAUAUGACAGGUAUUCAAAGUAGACACGAGGAAGGAAGCACGAAGACUUGGAUCCAUCUAUGUUUGAGGAAUAACAACUUUACUUUCAAGACGAAGGGAUGAUGAGAAUACACUUGAAAGGGUUGGCAAGAAUCAUAUUUUGCAGCAUUUGGUAUACAGCAGACAGUUGUCAAAAACAUUCAUCUCUACAAACAGGGAAUUUGGAGUCAAUUCUUGCAGGGAAUAGCCGACGACACUUUUGGAUGCUAAUGUUGGAAAUUGAGUGAUAUACUGAUAUUCAGUUUUUAUAGAUGAAUCAAUUUGCUUCAUAGCAGUCCAAUUAUAAGUAGUCUCCUUCUAUAAUUACCGGGUAUAAUUAUAGAAUAAAUUUAUGCCAUAAUUAUAAUUACUCUCUUUUUAUUUUUUAAUUUUGUA